rnacentral:rRNA from 1 species
GUGCAGCAGGCGAGAAUUUUUCUCAAUGGGGGAAACCCUGAAGGAGCGACGCCGCGUGGAGGAUGAAGGUCUUCGGGUUGUAAACUCCUGUCAUUUGGGAACAAGUGCCAACAAGUAACUACUGUUGGCUUGAUAGUACCAGAAGAGGAAGAGACGGCUAACUCUGUGCCAGCAGCCGCGGUAAUACAGAGGUCUCAAGCGUUGUUCGGAUUCAUUGGGCGUAAAGGGUGCGUAGGUGGCGCCGUAAGUCAGGUGUGAAGUUUCGGAGCUUAACUCCGAAACUGCAUUUGAUACUGCGGUGCUUGAGGACUGGAGAGGAGACUGGAAUUUACGGUGUAGCAGUGAAAUGCGUAGAGAUCGUAAGGAAGACCAGUGGCGAAGGCGGGUCUCUGGACAGUUCCUGACACUGAGGCACGAAGGCCAGGGGAGCAAACGGGAUUAGAUACCCCUGUAGU